rnacentral:tRNA from 1 species
GCCUCGGUGGCUCCGUAAGCGCCGGCCUACGAAUCUGGAGGUGCCGGGUUCGAAUCCCGGACGAGGUG